UGCAAUUGUUUCCUGUGUAGAAGCAUCUUUAGCUUUGGGCAAUCGACGACUAAAAAAGGCAGUUCGAUGUACUAAACUCCCGCUAUGUGCGGGGUUAGGAAAAGGGCCGGACUACAAGGGCGAUCGAUGACUCUAGAUGCUAAAACAUUUACUCCCAACUAAUGUGGUUGUUUGAUUAAUCAAUAGGCUAACCUCAAUUCCAAAAAGUUAAAAGUCUGUGUUUUAAGAUCUUUUUUUUACCAAAAUGUUAACAUGGUUCGAGCAUGUGAAAAGGAGAAAUCACAAAUGUCCCAAUUAAGAGGUGUGAGAGGUUGUCCUUAAAGGGUAUGCGGAGAAGUAGAAGUACGCCUCAUAAGUAGUAGGAAAGGUGAUUAGGUAGGGUAUGGGUGGGGAGGUAGGUUAGUAGGUAGUCGAACGUUUUUCCUUUUCUUCUCCAAAAUUGAUAGGACUAGUUUUAAUAUGAUAUCUUUCUUAUACUUAGAUGUUCUGUUUGAUUGAUCUUUCACGUCAGUUUUCUUAAUAUCUUGUUGAUGUUUACUACUUGUUGAUACUGCUCCUUUCUUGACCCAAAGGCCUAUCGGAAUCAACCUCUCUGCCCUCCUAGGAUAGGAGUAAGAUCUAUAAACACUUCUCUUUCUAGACUCCACUCGUGAGAAGUCAACGGUGUUACUUACGUUUAUUCAGAACUCAAUUUUGUCUUUUAAGGCAAACGGUGUCUUCAUUCUUUUAAGGGAAAUUAUCUAAUGCGAUUGCUUGCGCAAUGUCUGAAAAGUUGAUAAUAUUGUUCUUUUAAUAAAGGAGUAAAUGAUCUCAUUUGUUAACUUUUAUUUAAUAAUUUGAGUUUAAAUAGUGAAACACUAACUAAAUCUUGUAUUGAAAGAGCAAAAAAUAUGGAUUUAAUUCCACCCACGUAUCAGUUUCUCAACAAUUGAGAGUAAUAUUUUCCUUUAGCAUGGAUAGCCAAAAGAGAAAAAAAAGAAAAUAAGGCACCUUCUACGCUCUCAUUGUAGUGAAUGGUAAAUAUUCCUUUUUUUUCUUUCUUUUUUAAUUAAAGAGUAGGUACGAGCUUUGUAUACGGAGCCACUAUAUUAGUGAGUAACUUAUCCUAAUAAUUAAAGAGUACGUACGAGCUUUGUAUGCGGAGCCACUUUAUUAGUGAGUAACUUAUCUUAAUGUACUUUUCGAUACAAAUUUAAAUUUAAUUGAGUUCCAAUAUAAACAUCGAAUUCCGAAUUAAAAACCAAAACAAAAGAUGAAGAUUGUUGAAAUUAACGAGAGAUUUCGAAUUUAACCUUGUUAAUAAAAAUAUCUUCUUGGCAAGAGUUUUCACCCUUUCUAGUGUCAGGCAUUUCACAUAAAUUCGAACUAGUAGCAACAAUAAUUAUCACCUUUAAUGUCGAUAUUUCACAUAAAUCACAAACUAAUCGGACCAAUAAAUUUCGGACAUUUAGCCGAAAAUUUUAAAAAAUAAAAUGUAGUCCUGCAGCUUUCUUCGGGUCAAUUAUUCCAUUUUUGUCACCUUCUAUACUCUCAUUACAAUCAGAACCGGAAUAUCUUCAUCCUUAUCCAAUUUUCCUCGAGCUCAUGUGGGCCCCUUUUCCAACAACGAACAAAAGUCCGUUACCAUUUUACAGUUACGUUAAUGGUCGGUAAUCUAGUCUUCUACAUGUUCUGAUUGCAG
rnacentral:lncRNA from 1 species